GGGGGGGCGAAUAGGAUGUCUCAAUAAUUUUUGCUCCUGAUUGUAGGUCUCGAUAAAAGACACCAAUAUUUCGCAAUCAGGAAAAUUAUGUCUAUCGAGAUUAGGGCAACAUAUUUUAUAAGAGCAUUACAUACGUAUUUGGAAUAACAAUUUCGAGAGUCUGAACAAUGUUUAUUAGAGCUCAAAAGUUCCGAAAUAUAGUUGUUGCUAUAUGGCAACAUUGCCAAGUUAUGGUAAUAUGACACCAUCUCCCUGACACUAGCUAUUUCUAAAGUUGCAGACUGAGUUUGUUGUGAAAUUGUACGUUGCGCCAGCUGUUCUCGAGAUCAUCGACGCUAGCCAGUUUGGAGCCAUACCGAAGUCCUCGAAAGCACACGCUCUUAUCUCUAUGAUCCAUCAUUGGGCCCAAGCCACGGACAGUACAGGAGCCGCAGCUAUAGUGGUCGUAUUCGACUACAAAAAAGCGUUCGACCUAAUUGACCAUCAAAUGGACCUUUCACCUUUUGACUAAAAUUUAGAUCUCGACAAGUCUAGACAAAAAUUUUAUCACAGCUUGAAAGAGCAUCACAAAAUUAGUAAUAUUCCAAAGUUUCAUUGCGAAAUAUUCUAAAAUGCGGAUAAUAUAGCCUUGCGAAGUUUGCCGUUUUUCAGUCAUUUUGUAUUACGCGCGGGAAAUACAUACCUCCUUCGGAAAAAGGGUAUGUAUUUCCCGUUUGUAACACAAAAUGACUGAAAAUUGCAAACUUCGCAAGGCUAUAUUAUCCGCAUUUUACAACAUUUCGCAACGAAACUUCGGAAUUCGAAUAUUACUAAUUUUGUGAUGCUCUUUCAAGCUGUCAUAAAAUUUUUGUCUAGACUUGUUGAAAUCUAAAUUUUAGUCAAAAGGUGAAAGGUCCAUUCUGGUACAAAAGAUCCUUAGCCUAAAUAUUCCCCGGAGAAUCGCACGCUGGGUAACUGAUUUCUUAACGAACCGUAAACAACGUGUCAAACUUUCACAUGACUGCUUUUUCGAAUGGGGAGAUGUACCCUCAGGAGUCCCGCAAGGCACCAAAUUAGGACCGUGGCUAUUCUUGCUUAUGAUUAAUGACCUAAAGAUCCAAGAUGUUAUAUAGUAGCUGGAAAUUCGUUGACGACACAACCAUAUCAGAAGUUGCCCAGCUUCAAACAAAUAGUCAACUCCAAGACGCAGUUACAUCAGUUGAAAAGUGGUCCACUGAAAAUAAACUCCAGCUAAAUGCCAAGAAAUGCAAAGAACUCAUCAUCGACUUCAAGCAUUCCAAACACGUCUUCGAACCUUUGACAGUAAAUGGUAACCUACUCAGUGUUGUAAAACAUGUAAAGAUCUUAGGUUUGAAUCUCUCAAAUGACCUCCAGUGGAACGUCCAUAUUGGUGAAAUAAUUAGAAAAGCGAAUAAGUGUAUGUACUUCCUAAUUUUACUAAAACGUUCUGGAGUG
rnacentral:lncRNA from 1 species